rnacentral:rRNA from 1 species
UACGUAGGGUGCGAGCGUUAAUCGGAAUUACUGGGCGUAAAGCGUGCGCAGGCGGUUUUGUAAGCCAGAUGUGAAAUCCCCGGGCUUAACCUGGGAAUGGCAUUUGGGACUGCAAGGCUCGAGUGCGGCAGAGGUGAGUGGAAUUCCCGGUGUAGCGGUGAAAAGCGUAGAUAUUGGGAGGAACACCAGUGGCGAAGGCGGCUCACUGGACCGGAACUGACGCUGAGGCGCGAAAGCGUGGGGAGCAAACAGG